rnacentral:rRNA from 1 species
AUGUGGUUUAAUUCGAUGAUACGCGAGGAACCUUACCUGGGCUUAAAUGGGAGUGACAGCUGUCGAAAGAUGGUUUUCUUCGGACACUCUUCAAGGUGCUGCAUGGUUGUCGUCAGCUCGUGUCGUGAGAUGUUGGGUUAAGUCCCGCAACGAGCGCAACCCCUAUUGCUAGUUGCCAUCAUUCAGUUGGGCACUCUAGCGAGACUGCCGGUAAUAAACCGGAGGAAGGUGGGGAUGACGUCAAAUCAUCAUGCCCCUUAUGGCCUGGGCUACACACGUGCUACAAUGGUUGGUACAACGAGUUGCGAGUCGGUGACGGCGAGCUAAUCUCUUAAAGCCAAUCUCAGUUCGGAUUGUAGGCUGCAACUCGCCUACAUGAAGUCGGAAUCGCUAGUAAUCGCGGAUCAGCACGCCGCGGUGAAUACGUUCCCGGGUCUU